AUCCGCCAUCUUGAUAUUCCCAAAACAACGAUGGCCACCUGUGCGUUAAUUGCCAGUUUCGUGGCUGUGAGAAAGUAUUCCACGGGGCUGUAAUUUUCACAUCAAGGAAGUCGUAACGGAUGCCGAUCAGGUGGAGGGAUGAAGCCGCGUGAGGGAAUUAACCUCGGAGCUCAAGCCGAAAUGCCCCCCUGACAGGGAUCGCCCCGUCCACCGUCGGUGGCACCACCGCACGUGCUCGUUUUGAGCCGUCAAUCCACGCGCGGGCUUGUGUGCUCGCUGGGUCCAUUUGUUUGGAAGAAGUAAAGUGGGAGUGUCAAUCAGUGCCGA